CGGGAUGUGGUGUACGGUGCACGGCUGCUCUUCCAUCGGCGAGAAGGUAUAAAGAUUAAAAGCAGCAGGACGGGGUUCGACUCCCUGUAUCCCGA